GACGAACGCUGGCGGCGUGCCUAAUACAUGCAAGUAGAACGCAGUUGCGAACGGGUGAGUAACGCGUAGGUAACUGCCUGGUAGCGGGGGAUAACUAUUGGAAACGAUAGCUAAUACCGCAUACUACCAGAUGGACCUGCGUUGUAUUAGCUAGUUGGUGGGGUAACGGCCCACCCAGGCAACGAUACAUAGCCGACCUGAGAGGGUUAUCCGCCACACUGGGACUGGGACCCGGCCCCGACCCCUUCGGGAGGCAGCCGUAGGGGAUCUUUGGCAAUGGGCGGAAGUCUGACCAAGCCACUCCGCGUGAGUGAAGAAGGUUUUCGGAUCGUAAAGCUCUGUUGUACGAGAAGCGUUAUCUUACCAGAAAGGGACGGCUAACUACGUGCCAGCAGCCGCGGUAAUAC
rnacentral:rRNA from 1 species